rnacentral:rRNA from 1 species
UACGAAGGGGGCUAGCGUUGCUCGGAAUCACUGGGCGUAAAGCGCACGUAGGCGGCUUUCUAAGUCAGGGGUGAAAUCCCGGAGCUCAACUCCAGAACUGCCUUUGAUACUGGAGAGCUUGAGUCCGGAAGAGGUGAGUGGAACUCCGAGUGUAGAGGUGAAAUUCGUAGAUAUUCGGAAGAACACCAGUGGCGAAGGCGGCUCACUGGUCCGGUACUGACGCUGAGGUGCGAAAGCGUGGGGAGCAAACAGG